rnacentral:rRNA from 1 species
AGUGAACGCUGGCGGCGUGCCUAAUACAUGCAAGUCGAACGGAGAUUAAGUAGCUUGCUAUUUAAUCUUAGUGGCGCACGGGUGAGUAAUAUAUAGCUAAUCUGCCCUACACUAGAGGACAACAGUUGGAAACGACUGCUAAUACUCUAUACUCCUUCUUUACAUAAGUUAAGUCGGGAAAGUUUUUCGGUGUAGGAUGAGGCUAUAUCGUAUCAGCUAGUUGGUAGGGUAACGGCCUACCAAGGCUAUGACGCGUAACUGGUCUGAGAGGAUGAUCAGUCACACUGGAACUGAGACACGGUCCAGACUCCUACGGGAGGCAGCAGUAGGGAAUAUUGCUCAAUGGGGGAAACCCUGAAGCAGCAACGCCGCGUGGAGGAUGACACUUUUCGGAGCGUAAACUCCUUUUCUUGGGAAAGAAUUAUGACGGUACCCAAGGAAUAAGCACCGGCUAACUCCGUGCCAGCAGCCGCGGUAAUACGGAGGGUGCAAGCGUUACUCGGAAUCACUGGGCGUAAAGGACGCGUAGGCGGAUUAUCAAGUCUCUUGUGAAAUCUAACGGCUUAACCGUUAAACUGCUUGGGAAACUGAUAAUCUAGAGUAAGGGAGAGGCAGAUGGAAUUCUUGGUGUAGGGGUAAAAUCCGUAGAGAUCAAGAAGAAUACCCAUUGCGAAAGCGAUCUGCUGGAACUUAACUGACGCUAAUGCGUGAAAGCGUGGGGAGCAAACAGGAUUAGAUACCCUGGUAGUCCACGCCCUAAACGAUGUAUACUAGUUGUUGCUUCGCUAGUCGAGGCAGUAAUGCACCUAACGGAUUAAGUAUACCGCCUGGGGAGUACGGUCGCAAGAUUAAAACUCAAAGGAAUAGACGGGGACCCGCACAAGCGGUGGAGCAUGUGGUUUAAUUCGAAGAUACGCGAAGAACCUUACCCGGACUUGAUAUCUAACAAAUCAUCCAGAGAUGGAAGAGUGUCUGCUUGCAGAAAUGUUAAGACAGGUGCUGCACGGCUGUCGUCAGCUCGUGUCGUGAGAUGUUGGGUUAAGUCCCGCAACGAGCGCAACCCACGUCAUUAGUUGCUAACGGUUCGGCCGAGCACUCUAAUGAGACUGCCUUCGUAAGGAGGAGGAAGGUGUGGACGACGUCAAGUCAUCAUGGCCCUUAUGUCCGGGGCGACACACGUGCUACAAUGGCGUAUACAAUAAGACGCAAUAUCGCGAGAUGGAGCAAAUCUAUAAAAUACGUCCCAGUUCGGAUUGGAGUCUGCAACUCGACUCCAUGAAGCCGGAAUCGCUAGUAAUCGUAGAUCAGCCAUGCUACGGUGAAUACGUUCCCGGGUCUU